rnacentral:rRNA from 1 species
ACGGCUCAGUAACACGUGGACAACCUGCCCUUAGGUUGGGUAUAAACCCGGGAAACUGGGUAUAAUACCCGAUAGGUCUCGAUUGCUGGAAUGCAUCGAGAUUUAAAGCUCCGGCGCCUAAGGAUGGGUCUGCGGCCUAUCAGGUAGUAGUGGGUGUAGCGUACCUACUAGCCUACGACGGGUACGGGUUGUGAGAGCAAGAGCCCGGAGAUGGAUUCUGAGACACGAAUCCAGGCCCUACGGGGUGCAGCAGGCGCGAAAACUUUACAAUGCUGGCAACAGCGAUAAGGGAACCUCGAGUGCCAGGUUACAAAUCUGGCUGUCGAGAUGCCUAAAAAGCAUUUCAUAGCAAGGGCCGGGCAAGACCGGUGCCAGCCGCCGCGGUAACACCGGCGGCUCGAGUGGUAACCGUUAUUAUUGGGUCUAAAGGGUCUGUAGCCGGCCGGAUAAGUCUCUUGAGAAAUCUGGCAGCUUAACUGUCAGGCUUUCAGGAGAUACUGUCUGGCUCGAGGCCGGGAGAGGUGAGAGGUACUUCAGGGGUAGGGGUGAAAUUUUGUAAUCCUUGAAGGACCACCAGUGGCGAAGGCGUCUCACCAGAACGGACCUGACGGCAAGGGACGAAAGCUAGGGGCACGAACCGGAUUAGAUACCCGGGUAGUCCUAGCCGUAAACGAUACUCGCUAGGUGUCGGCCACGGUGCGACCGUUGUCGGUGCCGUAGGGAAGCCGUGAAGCGAGCCACCUGGGAAGUACGGCCGCAAGGCUGAAACUUAAAGGAAUUGGCGGGGGAGCACA